rnacentral:rRNA from 1 species
GACGAACGCUGGCGGCGUGCUUAACACAUGCAAGUCGAACGCUGAAGCUCAGCUUUUGUUGGGUGGAUGAGUGGCGAACGGGUGAGUAACACGUGAGUAACCUGCCUCCUUCUUUGGGAUAACGCCCGGAAACGGGUGCUAAUACCGGAUAUUCACUGGUCUUCGCAUGGGGGUUGGUGGAAAGGGUUUUUCUGGUGGGGGAUGGGCUCGCGGCCUAUCAGCUUGUUGGUGGGGUGAUGGCCUACCAAGGCUUUGACGGGUAGCCGGCCUGAGAGGGUGACCGGUCACAUUGGGACUGAGAUACGGCCCAGACUCCUACGGGAGGCAGCAGUGGGGAAGAUUGCACAAUGGGCGCAAGCCUGAUGCAGCGACGCCGCGUGAGGGAUGGAGGCCUUCGGGUUGUGAACCUCUUUCGCUCAUGGUCAAGCCGCAACAAUGGUUGUGGUGAGGGUAGUGGGUAAAGAAGCGCCGGCUAACUACGUG